GCCCCGGUAGCUCAGUCGGAUAGAGCGAUCGCCUCCUAAGCGAUAGGUCGCAGGUUCGAAUCCUGCCCGGGGCA
rnacentral:tRNA from 1 species